CGGGGCGUAGCUCAGCCAGGUUAGAGCGCACGGUUCGGGACCGUGAGGUCGGUGGUUCAAAUCCACUCGCCCCGA
rnacentral:tRNA from 1 species